rnacentral:rRNA from 1 species
GCAAGUCGAGCGAUAACGGUCUUCGGACUUAUUAAAGCGGCGGACGGGUGAGUAACGCGUGGGAAUCUACCAAGUAGUGGGGGACAACAGUUGGAAACGACUGCUAAUACCGCAUACGCCCUAAGGGGGAAAGCAGGGAUCCGUUCUUUUCGGAGAAGGGACCUUGCGCUAUUUGAUGAGCCCGCGUUAGAUUAGCUAGUUGGUGGGGUAAAGGCCCACCAAGGCGACGAUCUAUAGCUGGUCUGAGAGGAUGAUC